CGGUGCAGUACCCCUGUAAUAUUGACCCUGCAAAACAUUUUGUAGAAGCUUAUUCUGUCUUUUUUUUUCUUGACAGCCACUGCUCCUAGAGCAGCAUUUGACUGGCUUGGCACGACAAUUUGCUGCGCAUGGGCACUAGCUUCCCAAUGCUUCCAUACGCAGGCUAAUUGGAUUACCUGAGCUUAUUAGAACUGAUAAUCAGGGACGUAUUAGCCGCGAGGCAAACAAGGCAUUUGCC